rnacentral:rRNA from 1 species
AGCCUGAUGCAGCGACGCCGCGUGAGGGAUGGAGGCCUUCGGGUUGUAAACCUCUUUUAUCGGGGAGCAAGCGAGAGUGAGUUUACCCGUUGAAUAAGCACCGGCUAACUACGUGCCAGCAGCCGCGGUAAUACGUAGGGUGCAAGCGUUAUCCGGAAUUAUUGGGCGUAAAGGGCUCGUAGGCGGUUCGUCGCGUCCGGUGUGAAAGUCCAUCGCUUAACGGUGGAUCCGCGCCGGGUACGGGCGGGCUUGAGUGCGGUAGGGGAGACUGGAAUUCCCGGUGUAACGGUGGAAUGUGUAGAUAUCGGGAAGAACACCAAUGGCGAAGGCAGGUCUCUGGGCCGUUACUGACGCUGAGGAGCGAAAGCGUGGGGAGCGAACAGGAUUAGAUACCCUGGUAGUCCACGCCGUAAACGGUGGAUGCUGGAUGUGGGGCCCGUUCCACGGGUUCCGUGUCGGAGCUAACGCGUUAAGCAUCCCGCCUGGGGAGUACGGCCGCAAGGCUAAAACUCAAAGAAAUUGACGGGGGCCCGCACAAGCGGCGGAGCAUGCGGAUUAAUUCGAUGCAACGCGAAGAACCUUACCUGGGCUUGACAUGUUCCCGACGGUCGUAGAGAUACGGCUUCCCUUCGGGGCGGGUUCACAGGUGGUGCAUGGUCGUCGUCAGCUCGUGUCGUGAGAUGUUGGGUUAAGUCCCGCAA